AACGUACGCUGGCGGCACGCCUAACACAUGCAAGUCGAACGAAGUAGCAAUACUUAGUGGCAGACGGGUGAGUAACAUGUAGGUAUCUGCCCUUUGGCCUGGAAUAACACGAGGAAACUUGUGCUAAUACCGGAUAAGUCUUUACGGAGAAAGCUUUAUGCACCAUUGGAUGAGCCUGCACUUGAUUAGUUUGUUGGUGGGGUAAUGGCCUACCAAGACUGUGAUCAAUAGCUGAUUUGAGAGGAUGAUCAGCCACAUUGGGACUGAGACACGGCCCAAACUCCUACGGGAGGCAGCAGUGGGGAAUCUUGCACAAUGGAGGAAACUCUGAUGCAGCGAUGCCGCGUGAGUGAAGAAGGCCCUUGGGUUGUAAAGCUCUUUCGUCGGGGAAGAAAAUGACUGUACCCGAAUAAGAAGGUCCGGCUAACUUCGUGCCAGCAGCCGCGGUAAUACGAAGGGACCUAGCGUAGUUCGGAAUUACUGGGCUUAAAGAGUUCGUAGGUGGUUGAGAAAGUUAGUGGUGAAAUCCCAGAGCUUAACUCUGGAACUGCCAUUAAAACUUUUCAGCUAGAGUAUGAUAGAGGAAAGCAGAAUUUCUAGUGUAGAGGUGAAAUUCGUAGAUAUUAGAAAGAAUACCAAUUGCGAAGGCAGCUUUCUGGAUCAUUACUGACACUGAGGAACGAAAGCAUGGGUAGCGAAGAGGAUUAGAUACCCUCGUAGUCCAUGCCGUAAACGAUGUGUGUUAGACGUUGGAAAUUUAUUUUCAGUGUCGCAGGGAAACCGAUAAACACACCGCCUGGGGAGUACGACCGCAAGGUUAAAACUCAAAUGAAUUGACGGGGACCCGCACAAGUAGUGGAGCAUGUGGUUUAAUUCGAAGAUACGCGCAGAACCUUACCAACACUUGACAUGUUCGUCGCGACUCUAAGAGAUUAGAGUUUUCGGUUCGGCCGGACGAAACACAGGUGCUGCAUGGCUGUCGUCAGCUCGUGUCGUGAGAUGUUGGGUUAAGUCCCGCAACGAGCGCAACCCUCACUUUUAGUUGCCAUCAUUAAGUUGGGCACUCUGAAAGAACUGCCAGUGAUAAGCUGGAGGAAGGUGGGGAUGACGUCAAGUCCUCAUGGCCCUUACGUGUUGGGCUACACACGUGCUACAAUGGUAUCUACAACAGGAAGCAAGACUGCGAAGUUAAGCAAAUCCCUAAAAGAUACCUCAGUUCGGAUUGCACUCUGCAACUCGAGUGCAUGAAGCUGGAAUUACUAGUAAUCGUGGAUCAGCGUGCCACGGUGAAUGCGUUCCCGGGUCU
rnacentral:rRNA from 1 species